UACGGAGGAUCCAAGCGUUAUCCGGAAUCAUUGGUUGUAAAGGGUCCGUAGGCGGUUUUGUAAGUCAGUGGUGAAAGCCCAUCGCUCAACGGUGGAACGGCCAUUGAUACUGCAAGACUUGAAUUACUAGGAAGUAACUAGAAUAUGUAGUGUAGCGGUGAAAUGCUUAGAUAUUACAUGGAAUACCAAUUGCGAAGGCAGGUUACUACUAGUUGAUUGACGCUGAUGGACGAAAGCGUGGGGAGCGAACAGG
rnacentral:rRNA from 1 species